GCCAGGCGUGGUGGCGGGCGCCUGUAAUCCCAGCUACUCAGGAGGCUGAGGCGGGAGAAUCGCUUGAAUCCAGGAGGUGGAGGUUGCAGUGAGCCGAGAUCGUGCCAUUGCACUCCAGCCUGGGCGACAGAGCGAGACUCCGUCUCAA
rnacentral:SRP_RNA from 1 species